rnacentral:rRNA from 1 species
GACGAACGCUGGCGGCGUGCUUAACACAUGCAAGUCGAACGGAAAGGCCCUGCUUUUGUGGGGUGCUCGAGUGGCGAACGGGUGAGUAACACGUGAGUAACCUGCCCUUGACUUUGGGAUAACUUCAGGAAACUGGGGCUAAUACCGGAUAGGAGCUCCUGCUGCAUGGUGGGGGUUGGAAAGUUUCGGCGGUUGGGGAUGGACUCGCGGCUUAUCAGCUUGUUGGUGGGGUAGUGGCUUACCAAGGCUUUGACGGGUAGCCGGCCUGGGAGGGGGACCGGCGACAUUGGGACUGGGAUACGGCCGAGACUCCGACGGGAGGCAGCAGUGGGGAAGAUUGCACAAUGGGCGGAAGCCUGAUGCAGCAACGCCGCGUGCGGGAUGACGGCCUUCGGGUUGUAAACCGCUUUCGCCUGUGACGAAGCGUGAGUGACGGUAAUGGGUAAAGAAGCACCGGCUAACUACGUGCCAGCAGCCGCGGUAACAC